CACGUAGUUAGCCGUGGCUUUCUGGUUAGGUACCGUCAAGACUUGUUCAGUUACUAACAAAUUUAUUCUUCCCUAACAACAGAGUUUUACGAUCCUAAGACCUUCAUCACUCACGCGGCGUUGCUCCGUCAGGCUUUCGCCCAUUGCGGAAGAUUCCCUACUGCUGCCUCCCGUAGGAGUCUGGACCGUGUCUCAGUUCCAGUGUGGCCGAUCACCCUCUCAGGUCGGCUACGUAUCGUUGCCUUGGUAAGCCGUUACCUUACCAACUAGCUAAUACGGCGCGGGUCCAUCUAUAAGUGACAGCCAAAACCGUCUUUCAACAUUGAACCAUGCGGUUCAAUAUAUUAUCCGGUAUUAGCCCCGGUUUCCCGGAGUUAUCCCAGUCUUAUAGGUAGGUUACCCACGUGUUACUCACCCGUCCGCCGCUAACAUCAGAGAAGCAAGCUUCUCAUCUGUUCGCUCGACUUGCAUGUAUUAGGCACGCCGCCAGCGUUCAUCCUGAGCCAGGAUCAAACUCU
rnacentral:rRNA from 1 species